UGGAGCAUGUGGUUAAUUCGAUGCAACGCGAAGAACCUUACCUACUCUUGACAUCCAGAGAAUUUGCUAGAGAUAGCUUAGUGCCUUCGGGAACUCUGAGACAGGUGCUGCAUGGCUGUCGUCAGCUCGUGUUGUGAAAUGUUGGGUUAAGUCCCGCAACGAGCGCAACCCUUAUCCUUUGUUGCCAGCGAGUAAUGUCGGGAACUCAAAGGAGACUGCCGGUGAUAAACCGGAGGAAGGUGGGAUGACGUCAAGUCAUCAUGGCCCUUACGAGUAGGGCUACACACGUGCUACAAUGGCAUAUACAAAGAGAAGCGAACUCGCGAGAGCAAGCGGGCCUCAUAAAGUAUGUCGUAGUCCGGAUUGGAGUCUGCAACUCGACUCCAUGAAGUCGGAAUCGCUAGUAAUCGUAGAUCAGAAUGCUACGGUGAAUACGUUCCCGGGCCUU
rnacentral:rRNA from 1 species